GAUGAAAAAUUGUCAAAAACUUCAAAGUCGAUUUUCUCAAAACUAGGUUUUUGUCACUUACACCCCUUUGCUUCUAACCCCUCACUUGUUUAACUUUAUAUCCUAACUCAUUGACUUUUACCAGACUUUUUAGACAGAAAUGUUAAGACAUUUCAAUAAAAAUGUUAAAAGAGAGGAAUACUUAUCAAUUAUUAUAAUAUUUACUCACUUUGAAAAAGGAGGACAUUAUCAGUCCAAAGGAGGACGGGAGGACGUUUGAUCGAAAAGGAGUACAUGUCCUCCCAAAGGAUACCAUCUGGUCCCACUUACCCCGGGUAUAAAGAUAUUUUGAGAUAUUGACUACCAUGCUGUGCAUAAUAGCUAUUAAAGGAGUAACAGCUGCCGGAAAGCGACGGAAAAUUGUCAUUCAUGUUCCAGUGAAGGUAAAACAAGAGAAGCAUACACAUACACAGGUUAAAACUGUUCAUCAUCAUCAUAAGCCUACAGUUAUCAAAGAGGAGAAGAUUAUCAAGAAAGAAGUACAUAAGCCUGUAGUUAUCAAAGAGGAGGUUGAACAUGAACAUUUUCAUCACCAUUAUAAGCAUGAUCACCCUACAUUUGAAGUAGACGGCCAUGAAUCGAUUGGAAUAGGUAAUGAUUUUGAUGGGUUGAAAUAUAACUAACACCCUUCAAACACAUAUUGGACUCUAAAAAAUAAAAUAUACGUUCUGUAGCAAAAAAAAAAA